AUGCUCCCGGCCUCGCACCCGCUGCUCUACGCGUGCGCCUUCCGCGACAGCGCCCUCGUCGCCGAGCUCGCCCACGACCCGGACGCCGGGGGCGCCGGCACCGGCGACCUGCCGGCGCUCGCCGCCGCGCUCGCUGCUUCGGCGCCUCCGCACCACCGCUACGUCACCCACUCCACGGCGGGGCGGGCGCACGCGCUUCUCCUCGCCCCGCCGCUCGCGCUCGCCGCGGUCUCGCUCGCGCCGCAGCUCCCGGCGUCCCACCUCCUGCUCUUCCUCCGCCGCCUGCGAUGCCUCCCCGAGUUCAGGAUGCGCGAAGAGAUGGCGCGUCUGGCGCUCCGCCUGCCGUUCCCCAACGAGGAGGCGCUCGCGCGCGAGGCUGCUGACGUCGCUGCCGCUGAGGCCGAGGCGGAGGAGGCGACGCGGAGGGAGGCUGAGCUCGCGCGGGGGACGCCCAAGCGGGAGCAUGGAGCUCGCGGUGGCGCCGGGCGGGCGUGGAGGCGCCAGCUCUGGCUGAUCGUCCUCGUGGAUCUCGUGCUCCUCGGUGUACUCUUCGCGGCCUGGCUCGCCGUGUGCAGGGGUUUCAGCUGCAUUGGCCGGUAA
rnacentral:rRNA from 1 species